rnacentral:rRNA from 1 species
AGAAUCAACGCUGGCGGCGUGCCUAACACAUGCAAGUCGAACGCGAAAGUCCCGCAAGGGAUCAGUAGAGUGGCAAACGGGUGAGUAACACGUGGGUGACCUGCCUUCGAGUGGGGGAUAACGUCCCGAAAGGGACGCUAAUACCGCAUAACAUCCCGCCUUUUAACAGGUGGACAUCAAAGCUGGGGAUCGCAAGACCUAGCGCUUGAAGAGGGGCCCGCGCCUGAUUAGCUAGUUGGUGGGGUAAUGGCUCACCAAGGCAACGAUCAGUA